rnacentral:sRNA from 1 species
GGUAUUGUUUACCCCAUUUUUAGGUCCCGGAAACUUGAAAAUACCGUCUAAGGAUAAG